rnacentral:rRNA from 1 species
AGAGUUUGAUCCUGGCUCAGGAUGAACGCUGGCGGCAUGCCUAAGACAUGCAAGUCGAACGAAGAGACCCAACUGAUAUGGAAGCUUGCUUCUGUUGAAGAUGGAUUUUCUCUUAGUGGCGCAAGGGUGAGUAACGCGUGGGUAAUCUACCUAAGAGACUGGAAUAACAAAUGGAAACGUUUGCUAAUACCGGAUUAAAUGUAAGAUGAAAUAAGUCGUAUAUUAAAAGAAGCCUCAAAGCUUCGCUUUUAGAUGAGCCUGCGUCGCAUUAGCUAGUUGGUGGGGUAAAGGCCUACCAAGGCGACGAUGCGUAGCCGACUCGAGAGGGUGAUCGGCCACAUUGGGACUGAGACACGGCCCAAACUCCUACGGGAGACAGCAGUUAGGAAUAUUCGUCAAUGGGGGAAACCCUGAACGAGCAAUGCCGCGUGAGUGAUGACGGUCCUUUGGAUUGUAAAACUCUGUUGUUAGGGAAGAAAUGAUUGUAUAGGAAAUGAUACAAUUUUGACGGUACCUUUCAAGAAAGCUCCGGCUAACUACGUGCCAGCAGCCGCGGUAAUACGUAGGGAGCGAGCGUUAUCCGGAUUUAUUGGGUGUAAAGCGUGUGUAGGCGGUUUUAUAAGUCUAGGGUCUAAGCCCGGAGCUCAACUCCGGUUCGCCUUGGAAACUGUAAGACUUGAGUUUGGUAGAGGUAAAUGGAAUUUCUAGUGUAGCGGUGAAAUGCGUAGAUAUUAGAAGGAACACCAGUGGCGAAGGCGAUUUACUGGGCCAACACUGACGCUGAGACACGAAAGCGUGGGUAGCAAAUAGGAUUAGAUACCCUAGUAGUCCACGCUGUAAACGAUGGAUACUAAGUGUCGGGCAACCGGUGCUGAAGUUAACACAUUAAGUAUCCCACCUGAGUAGUACGGUCGCAAGACUGAAACUCAAAGGAAUUGACGGGCACCCGCACAAGCGGUGGAGCAUGUCGUUUAAUUCGAAGCAACGCGAAAAACCUUACCAGGACUUGACAUCUCUUUGAAACCUUAUGGAAACACUAGGCCUCUUCUUCGGAAGACAAAGAUGACAGGUGGUGCAUGGUUGUCGUCAGCUCGUGUCGUGAGAUGUUCGGUUAAGUCCGAUAACGAGCGCAACCCUUAUCCUUAAUUGCUAACAUUAAGUUGAGAACCUUAAGGAAACUAUCGGUGACAAGCCGGAGGAAGGUGGGGAUGAUGUCAAAUCAUCAUGCCCCUUACGUCCUGGGCUACAGACGUGCUACAAUGGCAGAUAUAAAGAGUCGCCAACUCGCGAGAGUGAGCUAAUCUCAAAAAGUCUGUCUCAAUUCGGAUUGGAGUCUGCAACUCGACUCCAUGAAGUUGGAAUCGCUAGUAAUCGUAAAUCAGAAUGUUACGGUGAAUACGUUCCCGGGUGUUGUACACACCGCUCGUCACGCCAUGGGAGUUGGUAAUACCCAAAGCUGUUAGCCUAACCAUAAUUUUAUGGAGGGAGACAUCUAAGGUAGGAUCAGCGACUGGGGUGAAGUCGAAACAAGGUAUCCCUACC